UCUUAUGGAUAAACAAAGAAAUUGGUUUCUUGAGAUAGAAUCCACUCCUAGUGUAGAUGCUGUGAA
rnacentral:pre_miRNA from 1 species